rnacentral:rRNA from 1 species
AUACAAACAGGGAUUCGCAAACAAAAAGGGGAAUACGUAGUCACUUUUUCCUGUCGCGUAAAAAAAAGUCUUUACGCGAGAGCAAUAGAGGUUGGGAUACAUCUAUCUCUUCUGAGCAAGCAGUGA